UACGAAGGGUGCAAGCGUUAAUCGGAAUUACUGGGCGUAAAGGGUGCGCAGGCGGUUCGCUAAGACAGAUGUGAAAUCCCCGGGCUUAACCUGGGAACUGCAUUUGUGACUGGCGGGCUAGAGUAUGGCAGAGGGGGGUAGAAUUCCACGUGUAGCAGUGAAAUGCGUAGAGAUGUGGAGGAAUACCGAUGGCGAAGGCAGCCCCCUGGGCCAAUACUGACGCUCAUGCACGAAAGCGUGGGGAGCAAACAGG
rnacentral:rRNA from 1 species